UGGGGAAUAUUGCACAAUGGGGGAAACCCUGAUGCAGCGACGCCGCGUGAGCGAAGAAGUAUUUCGGUAUGUAAAGCUCUAUCAGCAGGGAAGAAAAAUAGACGGUACCUGACUAAGAAGCCACGGCUAACUACGUGCCAGCAGCCGCGGUAAUACGUAGGUGGCGAGCGUUGUCCGGAAUUAUUGGGCGUAAAGGGAGCGCAGGCGGGAAGGUAAGUCUAUCUUAAAAGUGCGGGGCUCAACCCCGUGAGGGGAUGGAAACUAUCUUUCUUGAGUGCAGGAGAGGAAAGCGGAAUUCCUAGUGUAGCGGUGAAAUGCGUAGAUAUUAGGAGGAACACCGGUGGCGAAGGCGGCUUUCUGGACUGUAACUGACGCUGAGGCACGAAAGCGUGGGGAGCAAACAGGAUUAGAUACCCUGGUAGU
rnacentral:rRNA from 1 species